rnacentral:hammerhead_ribozyme from 1 species
GUGCUGAUGAAGAGUCCCAAACUAGGACGAAGCAGCCGUCCAGUAC